GAAGGGAGCCGGACCACAAACAUUAGAGUGAACAAGAUGAAAAGGACGCUGAAACAGUCUUGCUAUGAGCAUAUAGGGUGACUGGUGGAUGUGGAGCUUGGGCUAAAUGGCGUUGAGUAUGGAAGGUUUUUCUAGCGAGUCAAUAUCAAACUGAAAAAAAACCAUUGAUGUUUUCAGGGACUGGUGAGCGAAGUAAACCACCCCGAAUGUUUCUUGUGCUAUUCGAGAAGCUGUUGUGUUUUUGCGCAAAACAAGAUAUGAUUGGCCAUGUUAUAGAACAAUGUGGGGAUGGGGUUCGUGAUCCAAAGAAGUUGCGGUUUGGCAGUUUUAUGAUGGUUCCAACCUAUAUGUGGUUCUAGCCUAGAAAUGAGUAAUUGCUCAACCUCGUGGUAGCACUACUUGUGGAAGAGGUGACUGGGCUAGUAGGGCCUAGGUUGUCGUGGAGGGAAAAGUGGGCAUGACCCGACCCGAUGUAUGAGAAAAAUGAUUUUGAACCUGUGAAUGAAAAUGCAGGCACAUGCAAUGUCAAUGCAAAUAAUGCUAGUUAUGGGGAUUCUGGUACNUCGUGGUAGCACUACUUGUGGAAGAGGUGACUGGGCUAGUAGGGCCUAGGUUGUCGUGGAGGGAAAAGUGGGCAUGACCCGACCCGAUGUAUGAGAAAAAUGAUUUUGAACCUGUGAAUGAAAAUGCAGGCACAUGCAAUGUCAAUGCAAAUAAUGCUAGUUAUGGGGAUUCUGGUACCUAGCCAACCCAACGUCGGUCAAGGACCCUCCCUAGGCGCUAGGGGGAAAGGAAGUACGUAUCUUAUAGAGUACCAUUAGGGCAAAACUGGGUUGAGCAACACAGGUGAGGGUUGCUCUUUGCAAGUUGAAGUGAAGAAAAGGCAGAGGAUAGUGGGUUUAUGCAGCUUAUGCAAGCAUUUUCAUCGCUUCCCCAUAUCUCAUGUGCACUCUUCGUUCCUUGUCGAUUUGGCUUGUCAUCCUUCCACUGUUUGCGUGUUUUGUGCCACAGACUUGAUGAUGCACUCCGCGUUCCCUUGUUGGGCGUCCGUGGCCUUGGCGACAGGUAGCGGCGUGCUCUUGGGCGCUUUGCUUCCUUGCAUAAGAGGGAGACGGUGCCGACUGCCCAUGCUCUUGCUCCGCCAGUGGUGGUGCUUGAGCUUGUGGCCAUGGUGGCAACUUGCAUGGGAGCAUGGGAUGUAGGAACAAGGCAGUGCACAAC
rnacentral:lncRNA from 1 species